GAGAGAACAGAUAUAAGGCAGGUACAGAGAAAAUCUCUAAAAUGGUGGGCAGCAAAAGAGACGACCCGAUCUGUAGGUAUGUUCACCUCUCUGUAAACAUGCGCAGUCAGGAAGGUGCCACACUUCCUUAGUCACCUUCUGAUGUCCUCUAGAAAUGGGUGGUCUAUUAUUUCACAUCUCUGCAUGUUCACCUUUCUGUAAAUAUGCACAGCUUGAAAGGCGCCACACUUUCUCAAUUGUCUUUUGAUGUCAUUUAGAAGCGGGUGGUCUAUUAUUUCUCAUUAUAAUGGUUGUCAUACUAGCUAUUAUU
rnacentral:lncRNA from 1 species